UGAUCGCGAAGUCAAGAGUUGGCUGGUGCCUUUCCGAACGGUGGGUGCGCUAGAAUUUGCUCGUUUUUGUUCUAAAGUGAGCCUCUUUGUGAAGUUGGUUGAUAUUUAGGUGGUUCGAGUGGGGACCUAAAGUCGCAACGAAACGACUGUGUGUGUGGGCGUCAAACGGGAAAAACUUGAUCUGAGGAAAACGAGAAGCAGAAGGAAAACGAGUCCAGUAAGCAGCAUCUUCGCGGCAGUUUAGUUUUUUCAUCGAAACGAGGACUCUUCGCUUGCGCUAUGCAACUCCUUCGAAUCGCUGUGCUAGCGACGGUUAUCGCUAUCUCACACGCUUUUCCUACCCCACAAGAUGUAGUGAAGGCGGAAAUACCUCCGGCAGACGCACCUGCGGUGGAAAACAAACCUGUCCCGGUUGUAGAUGAAGCGCCUGUAAAGAAGUUGACCGAGCAGAAGGAUGCAGAAACUAAGGAAAUCGAUCAGAUUCCAAUUAACGUUGAGGUUAAAGCAGUUCCAGUUAGCUCGCCUGCCGUGGUACAGGUUACCGAAAUUGAUGAACCAAAAGAGAAACCGGUGGAAGCUGUAAAAGCUGUGGAAGUAAACGAAAAAUCAGAAGUAGCGGCUGUUGUUCCAGCUAAAGUGGUUGUAGAUGCAGUGGAGAAAGUUGAAAGUAUUCCCGAAGUAACAAAGUCUGCUCCAGCAAUAGUUGACCAGGUUGUUAAAGAAACUUCGACUGCUGCUGACACGAUAGUUGCUAAGUCGGAAGUCGUUGCUUCGGAACCAGAGAAAAUUAUACAAGAGGUAAAGGAAGAGGUGAAGAUAGUCCCCGUUGUUGCCGAAUCAUCGAAAGAUGAUGUUAAGCCAUCUGAUGAAUCCGUUUCGAGUGAAGAGCCUAAAGCUAGUGUGAUUCCCGAGGCACCAACCAGGGCUGUACCUGUAAUCACUCUACAAAAAGCAGUAGAAGAUUCCUUGAAAAGCGAGGAAGUAAAAACGACACCGGAAGACGUCAAACCAAGCAUUGAAACUGCGAUUAAGGAAACCCUGAGGAGUGAUGACGGGGAAAAAGUUGUACCGAUAGUUGAAGAAUUACCAAAGGAAUACACUAAGGUUGAAGCUGAACCAGCGUAUAAGACUAUUCCGGUGGCAGUUGUGGAGGAUGAGCCAAAGAAAGACGAAGCCAAAAUUGAAACGGUAGAGAAGUCCGAGCCAGUUGUGAAAGCUGUAGAAGAACCAAAAGUUAUUGAAGAAACUAAAGCAGCAGUGAAAGUGAACGAACCCCAAACUGAAGUUGUAGAAAUAAAGGAAGCUGAGUCGAUCAAGGAAGCACCAGUGGCCGUACCUGUUGAACUAAAAUCCACAAAGUUGGUUGAAGAUCCAUUCAGUUUGGAUAUUGUUCAAUCGGAAACUACCGUUGAUAAACGCGAUUCAAUCAAAUCAGACAAGGAUGAGCCCAAAGUAUUCAUAGUCGAAGUGACACCGGUGGCAAAGAUCGAGGAAAUUUCAAAGGUUGAACCUGAAAUUAUUCAAGCAAUUUCGGUGAAAACAGUACCAGCCACUGCCGCAAUUCCUGCUGAGAAGGUCAAUGAGGCUCCAAAAACAGAACCCGCAGUAGAAACCCCUAUAGAGGAGACUAAAGUGAAAACUGCUGAGCCGAUUGAACAGGUGGAUGGGAGUUCAACUAAAGUCUCAACGCAAAAAGUUGAAGAUAAGGGUGACGGUGACAAUUCUGCCGUUAAAUCUUCGGAAGAAGUUAAGCAUGUGACGACCGAACAAGAAAAAACACUCGACACACCGACUGCUGAGACUGCACCAGCCCCAGUAAAGGCCGAAGGCAAGAGCAAGGGGAAGAAGAAGUUGCCAGGUUCGAACAAAAAACAAAAUACGAUGUAAAUGAGAUGAAUUGAAUCAAUUGUACUAGCCUUGCUGUAUUUUCAAAUGCUAACAAUUAAUCCUAAGAGCUAACAUUCGAGGGUAUCGGAAGCGUCUACAGCAGGAACAGCAUAGGGCGUAACGUUCGAUGAGGAUUUGAAUACUUACUGGCUGAAUUAUUUGCUUAUUGUGGACUGCAAUUCGAAUUAGUUCGCCAGUAAGACACGUGGUUGAUCCUGUAGACGGGAUUGAGCUUCGUUUUAAGGCUUACCUCUAUGCUCGUACAAUAAGUUAGUUUUACGCAUUUGAAUUUAUGUUGUCAUUAGCUGGUUUCCUUACUGGCAAGUUGAAUGAAAUCGAACUAUCAACCAAUACGGUUAAUGCGAAUUAUAGUAUUAUAAUCUGCUUAAGCUAGGCUAAAAAGGAAGAAUCAAUUCUAUGAAAAUA